AUAGGGCACCCACAUCCUGGCUAUAUCGCUCAAUGGCCUGUAUUAUGUAUAAUCUUCCAUCAGGUAUAUUUGUAAAAAUCUAACUUAAAGUUAACAAAAAUAACCAGAGCUUGCACAAAUGGAAUAGCGUCCUUUCAAAAUACUGCCCUGGGGAGGCCUAUCAUUUAAUAACAAAGCCGCCAAUGCACCAAAAAAUAUUUCUUUCCUUUGGAUUGGUUCUCGGAACUUGGGUACAUUUUUCUGAAUAAUUUCAAUGGGGCAAAAUGUCACUCUGAUUAAAAACCUCUAAGUUUCUGAAAGAGAAAGUUGUUCAGAAUUAAGUAUGACAAAUAAGAUGGGUGACAAGACUGCAUAAUGGCAUUUUGGAUAAAAAUAUUGCAUGGAAAGAAUAAUCAUUUUCUAUGGUUUGUGAAUUAGCUUUAAGCCAAUUCUCAGAGGAAUUGCUAACUAAUCUUCGGCAGUGGUAUCAUAGGAUACCUGAAGGAUUAUACAGCACUCACAAGUAUGAAUUCUGAUUCAUGAAUAACCAUUUUCUAAAUGCUUAUUAUGGACUAGGUAUUAGCUGGUAGAAAUAGGAUUAAGAUAUAGUUGAUAACUUCAAAAAGUUACAAUUUGGUGGGAGAUUCAGACAUGAAAAUAGGAGACUUCAAUGGAAUAAAAGCUAUAUAUAUAUAUAAAAGUGAAAUGUAUAUAAAAUAUAUAUUUUAUAUUAUAAAAUGUAAAAAUAACAUAAUAGUAUGAGUUGUAAGGUGGUGCUGAGGGGGCUCUGAGAAGUUCCUGAUCCUGUCUGGCAGGGUGGUGGCAUGAAGGCUACAUAAAGGUGACAUCUGAACCAAGUUUGGAAAGAUGAGCAGGAGUGUGACAUACAAUGAAGGAGGGCACAACAGGCAGAGGCAGAGUGUUUGGAAAAUCACAAAUAGCUUAGUACAGCUGAAAAAAGAGGCAGAUACUAUAUUAUAAAGGGCUUCAGUUACCCUACAGAAUUAAACAUUUAUUCCAGGUUGAAUAAUUAACCACCGAAGAAUUUUAAACAAGUGAGUGACCACAAUCAGAUUUAUUUUAGAAAUGUAAACCUGGCAAAACGGUAAAGGAGGGACUUGAAGUGAAGGAGGGAGAUUAAAGUCUGAGAGUCUGGACAGGAGGCGAUUACCAUAGGCAAGAGGUGAGGAGCUGGAGAUGAGUGGAAACAGGAAGAAGACAGCAGAGACUGGAGAGAUAUUUUAAAAGAGGAACACACCGAGGCCAGACUUAAUGUGUGAGUAAAAAGGAAGGAAGAAUCACAGAUAAAUCAAAGCCUUUGCAGUUAGGUGACUGGGUUGGUAAUGGCAAUUUGCCACUAAUCAAGGAGGGAAUUCAGGAAAAGGAAGACGCUUUGAGCGGAAGAUAAAUUCAGUCUCAGACAUGCUGAGUCUGAGACGCGGUCAUUUACUAGAAAAUGUAUAACAGAGAGAUGUUGGGAUGAGAUACAUAGAUUUGUUGGUAUCCAAACGUAGGUAGUAGUUUUGGGAACUGUGUGUGUAUGUGGCAGGGGUAGGCAGGGUGUGGUAUCC